CUUGAGCUGGUUCAAAAUGCUGAUGAUAAUAUCUAUCCUGAAUGCGUGGAACCGACUCUUACAUUCAUUCUUCAAGAAUCAGGUGUUAUUGUUUUAAAUAAUGAGCGGGGCUUCUCUGCUCAAAAUAUCAGAGCUCUUUGUGAUGUUGGAAAUUCGACCAAGAAAGGAUCUGGCACUGGAUACAUAGGGCAGAAAGGAAUUGGCUUCAAAUCAGUCUUUCGG
rnacentral:misc_RNA from 1 species